CGGGUCCCUACACAGUUACAAAAGUUCUACCAUAUGGGGCUCUACAAGUGAGCAAUGAGAGUAAGGGUACUUUCACUGUCAAUGGGCAAAGAUUGAAACACUACUGGGGCGGUGACUUCUCUAAACAAAAGUCAACCGUUCAACUCGAGAUGCCAGAAUGAAGCAGCCGCAGAAAAGUCGAGCUAUCGACUAUAACUUAGCGCUGGGUGGGAGGCA
rnacentral:lncRNA from 1 species